rnacentral:lncRNA from 1 species
AAUUGUACAAUAGCAUUCCAUGCAGUGUUAUCUCCCUUUCAGUCAAAGAAUAAUAUGGUGCUGAAGCAUUGUAUAGAUGUAUUCACUGUAGGCUACCUAGCCCCAGGAUUUUUUGAUGUAGAAUUUUUGUUAAAUUUUUUUUCCAACUUAUUCAAAAUCAAAGUUACAUUAAAAACUUCUGUCUCACUUAAUUGCAUAAGUCAGGGAAUGGUUGUAUAUAGAAUAAUAGUAAGACCAAUGAGAACAAAUAUUUAUUUGUUGUUAGGAUAGUAUAUAUUAAAGGUUGUAUGUUACUAAUCAUGUUCAACAAGGGUAACCUCUAUAUGUUUAAUGUCAUUUUCACAGUUAUUACAAACUUCAGAAUUUUGAAUGACUCCCAUUUUUAAAUGAUGAAGCUACAGAGGCAAUCAGUCUUAUUUUAAAGUCCUUUUAACUUAACUUUUAUGAAAUUCAGCAAAAAAAGCUAAAUUGUUUUAAAAAUUAUUAGAGGAAAACUCAAGUUUGAUUGCUUGGUUAGGACCCAGUUGCCCAAUAAGUCAUCCCUCAUCCCUCAUCUGCAAUCCUGAUCUUGUCUCUAUUGAUAAUUUUCAUUCAUUCAUCUCUUCAGCCCAUAAAUUCAUAGAAAUUCAUAGGCCCACCAACAAGCAUCAUCAUCUCUUCUUCUUUUUGGAUGGUCAGGAACCAUCCAAAAAGAAGAAGAAAUCAAAUUUAAUUAAGAUAAUAUUAUUAAGAAAACUUUAAUUAUGGAACUUAGUAUUAAUACAAAUUUAUAACUAUAAAUACUUAAGAAGAGGAAAACCAAGAUAACUUCAAUAAUACUUUGUGUCACAUGUUAACAAUUUAUAAAAUAACUCGUCACAGUUCCAGAUGGUAACAACAUUCCUGGACAAUAUCACAGUUGAUACAGCUGGACAGAGAUCAUGAAGAACAGCAGCAGAUGAAAUAUAGCUACUAUGGCUGGGAUGACUUCUCUUCCUACUGCCAACUGCUACCAAGCAUCCAAACCUAUAUUGCUACCUUAUUUGCAUGGCUGAGCAGAAAUCUCAAAUUAUCAAUAAACCAAUUUUUUCUUAUGUAAAUAUAUUUCUUCUAUAUAACAAAUUAUUUGAAAACAAAUAAAAAUAAUUCCUGGUUAUUAAGUGCAUCAUAAUUUCCUUAUUUAUUAUUUUAUUUUUUCAUCAUCUGACAACACUGCAUCUUGACAAAUGACUGACAAGAAGACCAACACACACAUCUGUUAAGUCUGGAUCAUUAUUGCCUGUUAUUUUUAAAUUUGUGAAAAUAGAAAGUUAAAUUGAUGUAUAAUUGGCAUAUUCUUGUAAAUGAUACAAAAAUCAAAUAAUUAAAUUGUUGAAUUAGAGUUAAAUAAUACAGCAUCAAAGUUACCUCUAAUAAAUGCAGAACAUCAUUAUCAAAUUAGUUUAAAUAUUAUUAGUAAGGACACAAAUAUGCAGAUCUAGAGAAAACAUGAUCAUUUUAUAAGCCUCACUUUCUAAAGUAAAAAUCUACAAAUAAAUUACUAGAAUGAAUUGUGAAAGAAAAUAUGAAAAUUUUCAAAAAUAGGAAGCAAAAAAGUACUUCUGUUUAAUGAAUUUCUUUAAAUAGAGGUACUUACUCUGACUUGUCAAUGCAAAG